AUAUUAACGUGGCCAGUUAUUGGCCUCUGUAGCCGGGAUGAAAGAGUUUUGCAAGGAUUUUGAAUAAAUACUAAACGAGAAUUUCAUGGAUAGUCAUAAGGAGCAAAUAAUACCGAAACAACUCUGGAUACAAUUUAUUAACAAGUAAAAUCAUGAUAUGUAAUGUGAGUCAUAUUACACAAUUUACAAUUAGAUUGAAACACGCAGGUGAAAAUGCAUUUUUGUAUUGUAUAUUAUCCUGCUCCUCUUUUUAUGUUGUAAUAAAUUGUUCUAUUUAUGUUA